CAAAAAACCUUUCACCACAUUGUCGCAUGAAAAUUCCGGUGGCAGCCAAUAUUUGAUCCAAAACCACGUUUCACAUGAGUCAUGCAACUGUCACCAUGCAUUCAUGUCAAAUCUGUAUCAUUUUCACGCAGCAUACACUCACACAACUAUAUGUCACGUGAAAUUCCUGCCUGAAAAUUUGGGGGCGUGGCAUGCAGUCAGCUGGUUCUGUGUUUGCAUGAUAAUCUUGCAACACCCGCAUGGAAAUUGGUAUGGAAAAAAUCUAUACACCUUUUCAUGCAAUGUUGUGGUGAAAAGUUGUGGAUGGUUGCAUGAAUUUCCUGUCUGCAAAUUUCGGUUCGCUCGUCGAGGAGCUCAAUCAUCAGUUUCUUCCCGGCGCUCGACUUGGCAUGAAGUGCGAGAAAAUAUAUUAGAGUUUUGAGAUAGGCACAAAAAAGAGUACCAGAAUUGUUCGCGUACAAUUUUCCGAAUCGAACGGGAACUAAAUUCGACAACGCAAAAGUCAUCGAAAGGUGGCACCAAGCGAUCAGAACGAGUGCCACUAAAAGCCUUUCCCGUCGGCUGUUGCUGCAAUGAAAAUAACACCAUAAGCGGCCAAAAGCCUUCAGCCAGCACCUCAAUAGAAGAAAAAGACGACGGCCAGUUGCAAUUCGCCGUCCUCGAGAAGUCGCCUCCUUCGAAAAGUGUUAGUAGGGGGGAGGGCAAGUGUAUUUUGUUGCCAAUUAAUUGCUUUUGAAGCUUGUUUUGAAGUGUUUUGAGUGAUUGAAAUGCAAAGUGUGAUUUACUGCGUUGUAUUACAACUUGAACAUGUUUUGUAAAUAAAAAUAAUUAAAACUU